UACUCCUUAGAAAUGGGACCUGAGUGGGUGACUGAGCAAGUGAAAAAUCUUGUGAGGAACAGAGAAAUCCUUCUUGUAGCUCUCUCCCCAUUAGGAGAAGAUGCUGUAAAAGGUGGUGAAGGUGCAAUUUACCUUUGGGCAAAGCUUCCUGACAAACAUCUUGAUGAUUUUAAAGUUGUUCGCUGGCUUGCUAAAAGGCAUGGGGUGGUUGUGAUUCCGGGAGGUGCUUGUGGAUGCCCAGGGCAUCUUAGGAUCUCCUUCGGGGGCUUGAUAGAGGCGGAUUGCAAAGCUGCUGCGGAGAGGCUGAGGAGAGGGUUAGAAGAAUUAGUGAACCAUGGAAUGAUGGAGUAAACUGUUUUACAGCCCAUUGCAUAUCGGAAUGGGAAAUCCAUUAGCCUGUUUGUUUAAGUUAACAACCCGUGCAUUCGAAUAAUAUGGAGGGUACGAAUGUCUGGAAGUAGAACAAUAGUUUAGUAAAUGAAAGGAUAUUCACCCGGCAGUUGGUCUGAAC
rnacentral:misc_RNA from 1 species